rnacentral:rRNA from 1 species
UACGUAGGGGGCGAGCGUUGUCCGGAUUUAUUGGGCGUAAAGAGCGUGUAGGCGGCCAGGUAGGUCCGUUGUGAAAACUCGAGGCUCAACCUCGAGAUGUCGAUGGAAACCAUCUGGCUAGAGUCCGGAAGAGGAGAGUGGAAUUCCUGGUGUAGCGGUGAAAUGCGCAGAUAUCAGGAAGAACACCCGUGGCUAAGGCGGCUCUCUAGUACGGUACUGACGCUGAGACGCGAAAGCGUGGGGAGCGAACAGG